UACGGAGGGUGCAAGCGUUGCUCGGAAUUAUUGGGCGUAAAGGGUAGGUAGGUGGUCUCAUUUGUCUGGGGUGAAAGCCUUGAGCUUAACUCAAGAAGUGCCCCAGAAACGGUGAGACUCGAGUCUUGGAGAGGGUCGUGGAAUUCCCGGUGUAGCGGUGAAUGACGUAGAGAUCGGGAGGAACACCAGAGGCGAAGGCGGCGACCUGGACAAGUACUGACACUCGAACUACGAAAGCGUGGGGAGCAAACAGG
rnacentral:rRNA from 1 species